rnacentral:rRNA from 1 species
UGGGGAAUCUUGGACAAUGGGGGCAACCCUGAUCCAGCCAUGCCGCGUGAGUGAUGAAGGCCUUAGGGUCGUAAAGCUCUUUCGCCUGUGAAGAUAAUGACGGUAGCAGGUAAAGAAACCCCGGCUAACUCCGUGCCAGCAGCCGCGGUAAUACGGAGGGGGUUAGCGUUGUUCGGAAUUACUGGGCGUAAAGCGCACGUAGGCGGACCAGAAAGUUGGGGGUGAAAUCCCGGGGGCUCAACCCCGGAACUGCCUCCAAAACUCCUGGUCUAGAGUUCGAGAGAGGUGAGUGGAAUUCCGAGUGUAGAGGUGAAAUUCGUAGAUAUUUGGAGGAACACCAGUGGCGAAGGCGGCUCACUGGCUCGAUACUGACGCUGAGGUGCGAAAGUGUGGGGAGCAAACAGGAUUAGAUACCCUGGUAGUCCACACCGUAAACGAUGAAUGCCAGUCGUCGGGUAGCAUGCUAUUCGGUGACACACCUAACGGAUUAAGCAUUCCGCCU